GACGAACGCUGGCGGCGUGCUUAACACAUGCAAGUCGAACGGAAAGGCCUCUUUCGGGGGGUACUCGAGUGGCGAACGGGUGAGUAACACGUGAGUAACCUGCCCUUGACUUUGGGAUAACUUCAGGAAACUGGGGCUAAUACCGGAUAGGAGCUCCUGCUGCAUGGUGGGGGUUGGAAAGUUUCGGCGGCUGGGGAUGGACUCGCGGCUUAUCAGCUUGUUGGUGGGGUAGUGGCUUACCAAGGCUUUGACGGGUAGCCGGCCUGAGAGGGUGACCGGCCACAUUGGGACUGAGAUACGGCCCAGACUCCUACGGGAGGCAGCAGUGGGGAAUAUUGCACAAGGGGUGGAAGCCUGAUGCAGCAACGCCGUGUGCGGGAUGACGGCCUUCGGGUUGUAAACCGCUUUCGCUCAUGACGAAGCUUUGUGUGACGGUAGUGGGUAAAGAAGCACCGGCUAACUACGUG
rnacentral:rRNA from 1 species